rnacentral:rRNA from 1 species
GACGAACGCUGGCGGCGUGCCUAACACAUGCAAGUCGAACGGAAAGGCCCUGCUCUUGUGGGGUGCUCGAGUGGCGAACGGGUGAGUAACACGUGAGUAACCUGCCCUUGUCUUUGGGAUAACUUCAGGAAACUGGGGCUAAUAUAGGAUAGGAGCUCCUGCUGCAUGGGGGGGGUUGGAAAGUUUCGGCGGUUGGGGCUGGACUCGCGGCUUAUGAGCUUGUUGGUGGGGUAGUGGCGUACCAAGGCUUUGACGGGUAGGCGGCCUGGGAGGGUGACCGGCCUCAUUGGGACUGCGGUACGCCGCAGUCUCCUACGGGCGGCAGCAGUGGGGAGUAUUGCACAGCGGGCGCGCGCCUGAUGCGGCGACGCCGCGUGCGUGAUGCCGUCCUUCGGGUUGAGAACCGCUUUCGCCUGUGACGAAGCGUGAGUGACGGUAAUGGGUAAAGAAGCACCGGCUAACUACGUG